AGGCUCUGUAGAUCUUUGAAAUUUUUUAUUUAAAGUCCAGCUAGUUCACAUACAGUGUAGAUUGGUUUUAGGCGUACAAUAUAGUGACUCAACAC